rnacentral:rRNA from 1 species
ANAGUUUGAUGCUGGCUCAGAACUAACGCUAGUGGCGUGUCUUAGUCAUGCGAGUCGAACGAGAAAGCCUUCUUCGGAAGGUGAGUACAGUGGCGAACGGGUGAGUAACACGUGGGUAAUCUGCCUCUAAGUUGGGAAUAACACUUCUAACGAGGUGCUAAUACCGAAUGUGAAGCCGUUUCUUAUGUGACGGUUUUAAAGACAGCCUCUGCUUGCAUGCUGUUGCUUGGAGAUGAGCCCGCGUCCUAUUAGCUUGUUGGUGGGGUAAUGGCCUACCAAGGCGAUGAUGGGUAGCCGGCCUGAGAGGGUGAACGGUCACACUGGAACUGAGACAAGGUCCAGUCUCCUACGGGAGCCAGCAGUCUAGAAAUUUGCACAAUCGUCGAAAGACGGAUGCAGCGACGCCACGUGGAGGAUGAAGCCUUUCGGGGUGUAAACUCCUGUCAGGAGGGAAGAAGGGAUGGCCGUUAAUACCGGUUAUCCUUGACGGUACCUCCAGAGGAAGCUCCGGCUAACUACGUGCCAGCAGCCGCGGUAAUACGUAGGGAGCGAGCGUUGUUCGGAUUUACUGGGCGUAAAGAGCAUGUAGGUGGGUAUACAAGUCGGCUGUGAAAUCCUUUGGCUCAACCAAAGAACUGCAGCCGAAACUGUAUAUCUUGAGUCCAUCAGAGGGAAUCGGAAUCGAAAGUGUAGCGGUGAAAUGCGUAGAUAUUUUCGAGAACACCAGUGGCGAAGGCGGAUUCCUGGGAUGGUACUG